rnacentral:rRNA from 1 species
GACGAACGCUGGCGGCAUGCCUAACACAUGCAAGUCGAACGGAGAUUAUUUCGGUAAUCUUAGUGGCGAACGGGUGAGUAACGCGUAGGCAACCUGCCCUUUAGUUGGGGACAACAUCCCGAAAGGGGUGCUAAUACCGAAUGUGAUCACUUUUCCGCAUGGAAUUGUGAUGAAAGAUGGCCUCUAUUUAUAAGCUAUCGCUAAAGGAUGGGCCUGCGUCUGAUUAGCUAGUUGGUGGGGUAACGGCUCACCAAGGCGACGAUCAGUAGCCGGUCUGAGAGGAUGAACGGCCACAUUGGGACUGAGACACGGCCCAGACUCCUACGGGAGGCAGCAGUGGGGAAUCUUCCGCAAUGGGCGAAAGCCUGACGGAGCAAUGCCGCGUGAGUGAUGAAGGAAUUCGUUCCGUAAAGCUCUUUUGUUUAUGACGAAUGUGCAUGUUGUGAAUAAUGACGUGUAAUGACGGUAGUAAACGAUAAGCCACGGCUAACUACG